AUAAAGACAAGAAAAAGAAAAAAAGCAAAUGAAACAUUGGCUUGCUUUGAUGAUCCUGGGGGCGCACCUUACUACCACCGAUAGCCACAUGUGACCACACCCCCUGGAUACAUACUAACAUACCAAGUUAAUAGUUUGCCAGUUUAUAUAAUAAUAUACAUCCCUAGAAGGUGCUAUAUUAUAAAGCAAUAUUUUGUCCUGUAGAACCCCAAUGCAGCACACUAAAUUACAUCCACAGUGGCUAUGAAUCCAAAUUUCACAUGAUACCAGUCAUUUGCAUUCGCAUUAAAAGUAUUAAAAAAAAAUAGAAAAAGAUAAAUCAAUCUAAUUUUGCUCAGUGUUUGUGUAUGUUGCUCAGUAGCAGUAUUCAUGUUAGCCAGUUUUCUUUUUAUUGGUCAGUUCAGAGGUGAUUACUGAAAAUUACUGAAAUCUUUAUAUAAAUAUAUACACAUAUAUAUGUGUUUAAUAACAGUAUGGUUGCUUUAGAGGUUUUUGUUCAAGAUCCAUCAUUACCUAUGUGCACAUGUACAUGUAUGUUACUAAUGCGGCUUUAUCUACAAUAGGUGCUAAUUUCUGUCAGAUUUAUACAGUCUUUGUUGGGUUUGAAGUACUUCUGUUUGUUUUGGGUGACAUUUGUUUUCAUAUUGUCCUUGAGCAGAUGCUUGCGCAUGCAUCUGCAUGUUUUGUGUACACCAGCUGUUGAUCAUGGAUAUAGAUGUACAUGAAGUUAAAUUUUCCUAUACCCUUUGGGGUGACAAGGCAUGUAUAAUGAAUUACAGGGGCUGACAAGACUGGAUUUUCUGUGCAAAUCUUGUGUUUAUGAUUACAUAAUAGUUCACCAUUAAUACUUUGGAUAAGUAAGCUGUGAUGUCUCCUGAAUGUACCCAAAUCUUCUGUGAUAAGAUACUUGUGUGUUAUUCUGUUGUUCAGAGAUUGUUUUCAGGUGGAUAUUCCAUAUGUUGAGAAUAUGGAAAUUUGAUUCCAACACUAAAUUUUGAAAAGGCGUGUUGCAUAGUAUCAAAACAGGCCUUUUGACGUAUACUGAGCUCGAAGAAUAAAAUUUUAUUAAAAAAAAACUGUUAGGAUUAAAACCUUUUUGAUUAAAUUUGUGGUAUUCAAGACUUUUAUGUAUAUGUAUAUAAAAGUAUAUGUGGAAAUUGGUUCAAGGGUUUGGGACAUUGAAAUAUGUAGUGGCAAAUGGUAUGUAGCCGACUACAUGUUUGUACUAUGAAAACUGUAUCUUAUAUCAACACAUGCUAUUACAAAUAUACAGUAGAUGUUUAUUAUUUUUGUUGAAAGGUUAUUCCAUAUGAACAUGUAGGCCUAUCCAUUUUUAAACAGUUCCUUUUAAUAAUCAACAAUGAACAGAGUGGAUUGUUCUUUUCCAGUAAAGACAAAAUAGAGCAACUUAUGUUGACUAGAUGUCUUGUUUAACAUAAGACAUUUAAAAAUACAUUAUUCACAAGACAGGUAAAAAUUCAGGGUAUCUAAUGACGGAUAAAGUGAAAGGGUAAAAACGAAGCCCUCAUGGACUCCAGCACUAUGUGUAGAGUCAAAAGUCCUUUGUGAGAGAAAAAAAAACAACAGAUUAAAUAAUACACUGUGGUUUUAUGGAAAUCAAUAGUGCCUUUAAUCCAAGGGUUUUUUUUAGAAAUUAUGUGUUGGGAAGGAUUGUUUUUGUUUAAUUUACAUUUGGGAAUAUACUGUGAUUAUUGUAUUGGUUAUUUCAUGGGAAGUCUAUGGCUUGCCAAAUCUAUACUAUGACUGACUCUUCACUUGACCCAUUUGUUAACGUGUACACAGGUACAGGCAUGUACAGGUAAAAAUAUUUUUGUUGUUUCUAGGGACAUAUUGAUGGCAUCUUCUAAAAAUCGAAUUUAUUUUUGCUCACCUGAAUUUUGAUUGUUGAAUUAUUACCAAUAUAUUUUAUAAUCAAUAAAUUUUAUGAAGCUUUGAAAAACA